rnacentral:rRNA from 1 species
AUUGAACGCUGGCGGAAUGCUUUACACAUGCAAGUCGAACGGUAGAGGGGGCAACCCCUCGAGAGUGGCGAACGGGUGAGUAAUAUAUCGGAACGUGCCCAGUCGUGGGGGAUAACGUAGCGAAAGUUACGCUAAUACCGCAUACGAUCUAAGGAUGAAAGCGGGGGAUCGCAAGACCUCGCGCGAUUGGAGCGGCCGAUAUCAGAUUAGGUAGUUGGUGGGGUAAAGGCACACCAAGCCAACGAUCUGUAGCUGGUCUGAGAGGACGACCAGCCACACGGGAACUGAGACACGGUCCAGACUCCUACGAGAUGCAGCAGUGGGGAAUUUUGGACAAUGGACGCAAGUCCGAUCCAGCCAUUCCGCGUGCAGGAUGAAGGCCCUCGGGUUGUAAACUGCUUUUGUACGGAACGAAAAGGUCUCUCUUAAUACGGGGGACUCAUGACGGUACCGUAAGAAUAAGCACCGGCUAACUACGUGCCAGCCGCCGCAGUAA